CUUUAUCCUGUCAGCACUUCCACACUCUGAGUUCUCAUAUUGACUUUUCAGCCCAUACAAGCCUGCUGAAGAAGUUCUUGUCACUGCAGUUGUGUUCAGAUGUGCAGAGCCAGUUUUUCAGACCCCCGUCCCCUGAGCUGACAGCCACUGCAUUUUAAGAUGGAUUUGAGAAGGACAGACACUGCCAUCUCAACUCCCACCCAGGUCCCUGGGACUGGGCGUGGCAUUGCUGGAAUGCGAUAGAGACAUCCCGACACUUCGGAGUGUGUGUGUUCCUGCCCUCUUUCAUUCCUGCUGCCAGGGGCAGAACACUGUUUGGACAGCCAGGAGCUAUGGAAGUCCUCUCACCAUUGAAAUAAACAGGCAUAGCUAACUUGCGUGUACAGCAAAGUGAUCCCAUAAAUAACAGACUUACUUGGUAAAGGGUGG